rnacentral:lncRNA from 1 species
CAAAGACAACUCAAGUAUAGUUGCAUAAAUAUACAGAGAAAAUACAGUCCCAAGAGUGAUUCAUUUAUUUCUUUCAAUUGCUAAUUGUUUAUAAUUUAAAAGUCUAGAUCUAGAAUAUGAUGUGGUGUAUGUCUGUGGUAGCAAGUAGAGUAAGAAUCUUUCUUCAUUACAUGAUUAUUUCAAUGCGGUAUUUCCUUACAAAAUAAACACUCUCAUCAAGUUGAUUUAGCAGUGCUGAGAGAGAGGAACUUUUACCAAUUUCUAAUGUAGGCCCAUGGUUUACUUUAUGGCAAAGCUGCACUCCAGGUAAACUCCAACUAGGAAGCCCAACAAAGGUACCUGAUGUGAAGCAAGACUGGGUUUAAGGGAUCUAAGCCAAUUCAACAUAUUAUUCAUGAUUUCUGCCAUGUAGCAGCUUCUCUAACUUAUUUUGUUAAUAGAGGCCUCCUGAAAUCAAUGUCUUGGUUAUUGUGCUGGUAUUUCUACCCAUUUAUUUUCUCCUUAUAGACAUAUUCUAGUUGUAAUGUACCAAGAAGAUCUAGAAAUUUGAUAUGUGCUUUUUUCUAAAACAAAGCAUAACUUAUGGUCUUCUAGUGUUGUGGGGGGUGGGAAGAGAGAAAAAAAAACAGAGAAACUCCACCUAUAAAAAUACUACCUACACAGAUUCUAUGAUUUAAAAAAAAAAAACAGUUUCUGGGUACAGUGGCUCAUGCCUGUAAUCCCAGCACUUUGGGAGGCCGAGGCAGGCAGAUCAUCUGAAGUCAGGAGUUCAAGACCAGCAUGGCCAACAUGGUGAAACCCCA